GGUGAACGCUGGCGGCGUGCCUAACACAUGCAAGUCGAGCGGGUACCCGCAAGGGUACCAGCGGCGCACGGGUGAGUAACACGUGGGUAAUCUACCCCUCGGAGGGGGAUAACUGGGGGAAACCCCGGCUAAUACCCCAUACGAUCCGGCAACGAAGGUUGCUGUAUGAAAGGGGCGUUUGCUCCGCCGAGGGAUGAGCCCGCGGCCCAUCAGGUAGUUGGUGGGGUAAUGGCCCACCAAGCCUACGACGGGUAGCCGGCCUGAGAGGGUGGUCGGCCACAAGGGCACUGAGACACGGGCCCUACUCCUACGGGAGGCAGCAGUGGGGAAUCUUGGACAAUGGGCGAAAGCCUGAUCCAGCGACGCCGCGUGGGGGAUGAAGCCCUUCGGGGUGUAAACCCCUGUUGCGAGGGAGGAAUAAGGCCUGGAGGAAAUGCCAGGCCGAUGACUGUACCUCGCGAGGAAGCCCCGGCUAACUACGUGCCAGCAGCCGCGGUAAUACGUAGGGGGCGAGCGUUACCCGGAUUCACUGGGCGUAAAGCGGGUGUAGGCGGCUCGGUAAGUCGGGUGUGAAAUCCCACAGCUCAACUGUGGAAUUGCGCCCGAAACUGCUGAGCUUGGGGCCGGUAGAGGGAGACGGAACUGCCGGUGUAGGGGUGAAAUCCGUAGAUAUCGGCAGGAACGCCGGUGGGGAAGCCGGUCUCCUGGGCCGCGCCCGACGCUGAGACCCGAAAGCUAGGGGAGCAAACC
rnacentral:rRNA from 1 species